AUGAACUGGGAGAGCUCGAGGAAGAGACGACAGUUAAACGGACGGGGGAGAGUGCUGGGGACUGAGCGGCAGGAGACGGAGCUGCGUACUGCCGGAUGACUGUAAAAAGUGUGACAGACCUGGCUCUGGACGGCGACUCUGGGGGAGAGAGAUACUGACCAAAUUCCCCAGCGGCUCCUGUGAAGUGGAUAGCGGGACCGAAGUGUGGACGGCUGUGGCGAGCGGUGACGGGCUCCGACAUCAGUAAAUCCCUCUGGGCGGAGCGGAAGAGGAGUCUCCUGAUAGUGACCCCGUGUGGCUGUGGGCGGCGAUAUCAGUGAGUCCACAGCAGAGCUAUCCCUCGCUGGGCGGAUCAAGAGGCGGCGCUGCCCCACAAACCAGGCCCCAAAUCGGUCGCUUGUCCGGUGAAUUCACGAUAUCCUGAUCCUGGAGAGUCCUGUACAGUGAGGGCAACCUGGAAAACAAGAAAAUACUGGAUAACGCAGAACGAAACCAAUUCUUGAACUAGAGUUCCAGCCGAAUGAACAUAAACCCAGAGUAUCCUCAACACGCUGUCCACCUGAAGAAAAAUGACCACAUCGACUGCGAUUCUUGAUCAUCUCUCCUGGUUGUCCGCACUUCCUGAUGGUUGCAUGGGCUGGUGAGAAGUUUUUUCUUUGUAUGCCCCCAUCGCUUUGAAGUACAGUACAGUACUAGUAGGACUCAUCCUCUGCAGUUUAAAGGAUCCGGUUAGGAUCCCGGUGUACGGGACCCCGGCAGUCGGAAUCCCGUCACAGCUCAUAAUGCCGACGCCAGCAUCCCGACAUGGAUUGAAAUGCCGAAAUCUGGAAUCCCGGAAUCCCAAUCGAGGGCGGCUGGGACUCCACUCUGAUAAUUCGGGGGGAGGGAGGUUAGGUCUAGGCUGCGUGAGGGUUAGAGUUAGGCUGUGGGGAGUAAGGUUUAGGCACUCGCG